rnacentral:rRNA from 1 species
UACAGAGGUCUCAAGCGUUGUUCGGAUUCAUUGGGCGUAAAGGGUGCGUAGGCGGUGGGGCAAGUCAGGUGUGAAAUCCCGGAGCUCAACUCUGGAACUGCACUUGAUACUGCCUUACUAGAGUACUGGAGAGGAGACUGGAAUUUACGGUGUAGCAGUGAAAUGCGUAGAGUAUCGUAAGGAAGACCAGUGGCGAAGGCGAGUCUCUGGACAGUUACUGACGCUGAGGCACGAAGGCCAGGGGAGCAAACGGG